CAGGGCCUCACUGUGUAGCUCAAGCUGGCCUUGAACUCACUAUGUAGCCUAGGUGGGCCCUGAACUCAUGGUAAUCUUCCUGCUUCAGCCUCCCAAGUCCUGGGAUUACAGGUGUCCACCACUGCACCCAGAGGAAUAUCUUUUUUGAGGCAAAGACCUUCAUUGUCACAGUGGGCUCCCACAGAUUGAGAUGAAAUUUAGGUGCAAUGAGGCCAAUGACACCAUUAGAUCACAUCAUUUGCAGUAUUUCCAUUGAGGUAUUUACCACAUUACUGAUAAAGCAACUGAGCCUAGGACAAGGAAGAUAAACCAGCUCAAAAUCACAGAGCAGGAAAUGUGGGCAUGGACAUACACAGAAGGAAGAUAGUGUGAAGACACAGCAGAAUGCAGACAUCUGCCAGCCUGGGGGAGAGGCCUCAGAAGAAACUGAACUGGCCAACAAACUUGAUUUUGGACUUCCAGCCUCCACACUUGUGAGAAAAUACAUUUCUGUUAUUUAAGCCAUCCAGUCUGUGGUACUUUGUU
rnacentral:lncRNA from 1 species